rnacentral:rRNA from 1 species
GCUAACACAUGCAAGUCGAGCGGAAACGAUGGAGCUUGCUCCAGGCGUCGAGCGGCGGACGGGUGAGUAAUGCAUAGGAAUCUGCCCGGUAGUGGGGGAUAACCUGGGGAAACCCAGGCUAAUACCGCAUACGUCCUACGGGAGAAAGCAGGGGAUCUUCGGACCUUGCGCUAUCGGAUGAGCCUAUGUCGGAUUAGCUUGUUGGUGAGGUAAUGGCUCACCAAGGCGACGAUCCGUAGCUGGUCUGAGAGGAUGAUCAGCCACAUCGGGACUGAGACACGGCCCGAACUCCUACGGGAGGCAGCAGUGGGGAAUAUUGGACAAUGGGCGAAAGCCUGAUCCAGCCAUGCCGCGUGUGUGAAGAAGGCUUUCGGGUUGUAAAGCACUUUCAGUGAGGAAGAACGCCUCGGGGCCAAUACCCCCGAGGAAGGACAUCACUCACAGAAGAAGCACCGGCUAACUCCGUGCCAGCAGCCGCGGUAAUACGGAGGGUGCAAGCGUUAAUCGGAAUUACUGGGCGUAAAGCGCGCGUAGGUGGCUUGAUAAGCCGGUUGUGAAAGCCCCGGGCUCAACCUGGGAACGGCAUCCGGAACUGUCAGGCUAGAGUGCAGGAGAGGAAGGUAGAAUUCCCGGUGUAGCGGUGAAAUGCGUAGAGAUCGGGAGGAAUACCAGUGGCGAA